rnacentral:rRNA from 1 species
AGGGAGUUUGAUCCUGGCUCAGGACGAACGCUGGCGGCGUGCCUAACACAUGCAAGUCGAGCGGGGACUUAUUGGAUGAGAGCUUCGGCAGGAUUCCGGUAAGUUCUAGCGGCGGACGGGUGAGUAACGCGUGAGCAAUCUGUCUCAAACAGGGGGAUAACGCAGCGAAAGUUGCACUAAUACCGCAUAAGACCACGGGACCGCAUGGUACAGGGGUCAAAGGAGCAAUCCGGUUUGAGGUGAGCUCGCGUCCUAUUAGGUAGUUGGUGAGGUAACGGCCCACCAAGCCUGCGAUAGGUAGCCGACCUGAGAGGGUGAUCGGCCACACUGGAACUGAGACACGGUCCAGACUCCUACGGGAGGCAGCAGUGGGGAAUAUUGGGCAAUGGGGGAAACCCUGACCCAGCAACGCCGCGUGAGUGAAGAAGGUCUUCGGAUUGUAAAUCUCUGUCCUAAGAGAAGAGGGGAAGACGGUAUCUUAGGAGGAAGCCCCGGCUAACUACGUGCCAGCAGCCGCGGUAAUACGUAGGGGGCGAGCGUUGUCCGGAAUGAUUGGGCGUAAAGGGCGUGUAGGCGGCCUUUUAAGUCUGAAGUGAAAGUCCUGUUUUCAAGAUGGGAAUUGCUUUGGAUACUGGGAGGCUUGAGUGCCU